rnacentral:rRNA from 1 species
UUGGAGGGCAAGUCUGGUGCCAGCAGCCGCGGUAAUUCCAGCUCCAAUAGCGUAUAUUAAAGUUGUUGCAGUUAAAAAGCUCGUAGUUGAAUUUCGGGAUCAAUUUAUUGGUCGUGCCAACGGUACGCACUGGUACAAUUGGUUUCUCCCUUCUGACGAAGCAUGAUGUCAUUAAUUUGAUGUCGUGGGGAAUCAGGACUGUUACUUUGAAAAAAUUAGAGUGUUUAAAGCAGGCUUUGGCUUGAAUACAUUAGCAUGGAAUAAUGAAAUAGGGCGUUUGAUCUUAUUUCGUUGGUUUCUAAGAUCGACGUAAUGAUUAAUAGGGAUAGUUGGGGGCAUUAGUAUUCAAUUGUCAGAGGUGAAAUUCUUGGAUUUAUUGAAGACUAACUACUGCGAAAGCAUUUGCCAAGGAUGUUUUCAUUAAUCAAGAACGAAAGUUAGGGGAUCGAAGACGAUCAGAUACCGUCGUAGUCUUAACCAUAAACUAUGCCGACUAGGGAUCGGAUGAUGUUAAUUUUUUAAUGACUCAUUCGGCGCCUUACGGGAAAC